rnacentral:rRNA from 1 species
AACGGGGGGGGCAGGUGUUACUCUUAAUGACUGGGUGUAAAGGGCAAGUAGGCGGCUUAUUAAGUUUUAAAUUAAAUCCCUGGGUUUUCCCAACGGAAGUUUUUUAUACGUGUAAGCUUGAGUUUUGUAAAGGGUUGUCGAACUUUCGGAGUAGGGGUAAAAUCCAACAAUACCGGCAAAGGACGCGCGAAGGCGAAGGCAGUGACCUUGUACUUAACUGACGCUGAGAGCUUGGCGAAAGCGUGGGGAGCGAACAGG